UCAUGUUAAAACUGCAUACUUGUUUGAAAAAAACACUCGAGUUACAACUGCAUAACAUAUCCAAAUAUUACAAUAACAACUGCAUAAUUAAGAGAUCAAAAUAUGGUGGCCACAACUGCAUAAUUUUUUGAAAAAACAGGCAUCACAACAAAGCAGUCCCAGCUGCAUAAUUAUUUUACAAAAACAUAUUUAUCUAGGAGCAACUACAUAAUUGUUUGAGAAAUCAGACAUCAAAUACCUAAAAUAAACAUGAACAAAUGAGACUUUAAAUACUGGACAACUAAUGAACUUGUUUGGCUCAAGCGAUUCAUUUAUUCAACUUUGGUACUUGUCUUCAUUUUGUUUUUUGCUCUCAUUUCUAAAAUCCUUGUUGUAUGAAAAUAGGCUUUCCUUUUCAUUUCACACCUGAUAUUGGUUUAUGAUGUUCAAGAUUUUCAAUUACUCUAGAGGAGUUCAAAGGCAUUCUAGGCUGCAAUAACAAAAACAAAUGUAUUAGUCAUUUGAUCAUUGACUUUAAUAUUGAAAAGUGUAAAAUUAUUCAAUCACUUACAUUGUGGAUUUUAAAAUCACUUUGUGUAUGUAGCACCCCCAUCCCAACAAUAUUUGGCCUUUUUAAAUUUUACCUCGACCCCUACCAGUAACACUACAAAAAUUAGAUGUAGGAUCGACAACCCCUCUGCCCCUUUCACUGAC
rnacentral:lncRNA from 1 species